AAUAAAAUAUUUUACAUGAACAAUAAAUCUUUAUAUAAGAUAAGCAAAAAAAUAAUCAUAAUUUGGUUUUGGUUUCUUCGUGUUUAAACACAUCUUUCUUCUGUUCCAUGCUUCUUCCUUCCAUUAACUGUUGGUUCUUCUUGAAAAAUACCAUUUCUUCUUCUAUGCCAUCUCUCUUCCAUUUACAGAAUCAAAAUCAUACUUUGGUUAUAACUUAUAUCUCUUGAAUCCUCAUCACACUUGAGUUUCUGCUGUACAAAAUAAAAAAGAGAGUAAUUGUUUGAAAAUUUACAGAAUUGUUUUGGUCGGAAUAAGAAUAACCAUUUGUAAGUAU
rnacentral:sRNA from 1 species